AUUGAACGCUGGCGGCAGGCCUAACACAUGCAAGUCGAACGAGUGGCGGACGGGUGAGUAAUGUCUGGGAACCUGCCAGAUGGAGGGGGAUAACUACUGAAAACGGUAGCUAAUACCGCAUACCUGCGGAUGUGCCACGAUGGGAUUAGCUAGUAGGUGGGGUAAAGGCUCACCUAGGCGACGAUCCCUAACUGGUCGGAGAGGAUGACCAGCCACACUGGAACUGAGACACGGUCCAGACUCCUACGGGAGGCAGCAGUGGGGAAUAUUGCACAAUGGGCGCAAGCCUGAUGCAGCCAGGCCGCGUGUAUGAAGAAGGCCUUCGGGUUGUAAAGUACUUUCAGCGGGGAGGCGUUACCCGCAGAGGAAGCACCGGCUAACUACGUGCCAGCAGCCGCGGUAAUUC
rnacentral:rRNA from 1 species